ACUGAUGACUCCAACGAGCACAAGCUUGAUCGGAAGACCUGGCUAAACUCAUAAGCGUCAUCGUGAUGGGGAUAGAUUAUUGCAAUUAUUAAUCUUCAACGAGGAAUUCCUAGUAAGCGUGAGUCAUCAGCUCACGUUGAUUACGU
rnacentral:rRNA from 1 species